rnacentral:rRNA from 1 species
UACGGAGGGUGCUAGCGUUGUUCGGAAUCACUGGGCGUAAAGCGCGUGUAGGCGGUCCGUUAAGUCUGAUGUGAAAGCCCGGGGCUCACCCCCGGAAGUGCAUUGGAAACUGACGAACUCGAGUCCCGGAGAGGAGGGUGGAAUUCCUGGUGUAGCGGUGAAAUGCGUAGAUAUCAGGAGGAACACCGGUGGCGAAGGCGGCAUCCUGGACCGGCAUUGACGCUGAGGCGCGAAAGCUAGGGGAGCAAACGGG